GCGCUCACUUCGGCAGCGCAUAUACUAAAAAUUGGAAUGAUACGGAGAUUAGCAUGACCCCUGGGCAAGGAUGACGGAGAAAUUUGUGAAGGCUUCCAUAUUUUU
ensembl:snRNA U6 U6 spliceosomal RNA